GACGAACGCUGGCGGCGUGCCUAAUACAUGCAAGUCGAACGCACUCUCGUUUAGAUUGAAGGAGCUUGCUCCUGAUUGAUAAACAUUUGAGUGAGUGGCGGACGGGUGAGUAACACGUGGGUAACCUGCCCUAAAGUGGGGGAUAACAUUUGGAAACAGAUGCUAAUACCGCAUAAAACCUAACACCGCAUGGUGUAGGGUUGAAAGAUGGUUUCGGCUAUCACUUUAGGAUGGACCCGCGGUGCAUUAGUUAGUUGGUGAGGUAAAGGCUCACCAAGACCGUGAUGCAUAGCCGACCUGAGAGGGUAAUCGGCCACACUGGGACUGAGACACGGCCCAGACUCCUACGGGAGGCAGCAGUAGGGAAUCUUCCACAAUGGACGAAAGUCUGAUGGAGCAACGCCGCGUGAGUGAAGAAGGUUUUACGGAUCGUAAAACUCUAGUUGUUGGAGAAGAAUGUAUCUGAUAGUAACUGAUCAGGUAGUGACGGUAUCCAACCAGAAA
rnacentral:rRNA from 1 species